UCAUAUAGGUCAACUGCAAUUUGUUUUGCAAUUUGUCCAUACAUGGAAGAUUUAUAAUUAUAAGCAAAUAUUGGAAAUGUGUGAUUAGCUAAUUUUGGCUACGGUAUAUAUAAUUAUAAAGCAAUUGAUGCUACUACCCCAAAUCAACUAUCUAGUCAGUAAAGCUUCUUUUUGGUCGUUUUCAAGUUUUGAUGUUUUCUGUGGCAACUAAUAAAAACUUGCCGCGUAAUUUCUGUGACUGGCCCACUACACCACUGCUUGCAUGAUUUGAUACCUUAUUAUAGACCAGGGUUUCCCAAAGCGUGUUCCUGAAAUGCCUACAGGUCACCAGUACCCAAAAUAUAAUUAAUAGAUGUGAUAGCUGUAAUUAAAGCCAAUGCUUAUGGCCAUGGAAGUUUGGAAAUAGCACGAUACCUGGAAGCUAAUGGAAUAUCACACUUUGCCGUUGCCACAGCUUGGGAGGGGGCUCAGUUGAGGCAAUAUGGUGUGACAGGAUAUAUACAGAUUCUAGGAAGCUGUAUUAAAGAAGAUAUAUACACAACUUGUAAGUUUAAUCUAACUCCUACAAUAUGUACGGCAGAGUUUCUACAAGCAUGGUCAGAUUGGUACCUAAACCAAAACAAGAGUACUGGUUCGGUAGUGAUAAAAUUUGAUACUGGUAUGGGUAGAAAUGGAUGUCAACAAACAGAAUUAAACAGUUUAAUUCAGAAAUGUGAUGAUUUGAAGAUACCUGUUCAUAGUGUUAUGACACAUUUUAGCCAGGCCUGGGAUGAUCCUAAAUUUACUCAACAACAAUUAGAUACAUUUCUUACAGCUACUAAAGACUUACGAUGUAGAGGAAUUAAACUACAUGCAGCUAAUUCAGCUGCUAUAAUACAGGGUUAUGGUACAGAUUUAGAUUUUGUUAGGCCAGGAAUCUGUAUGUACGGUCUUCCACCAGAUCCAAGUAAAGCUACUGUAGAAAAAAUCAAAUCACUGAAUUUAAAACCAGCAUUAUCAUGGUUAGCCAAACCUACAUUAGUUAAAUUAUUACCACCAGGAUCUUAUGUUGGUUAUGAUAAAACAUACCAAUGUAAGGAAGAAGAAAUAAUAGGAACAUUUAGUAUUGGUUAUGCUGAUGGUUACAGAAGACUUCUUUCAUCUGGUGGUGGAUAUCUGACAUCUAUUGAUGGUAAAAGAUUUCCUAUAAUUGGACGUGUUUCAAUGGAUGCAAUCACUGUUAAACUGGAUAACCUUGACUCACAGAAAGUCUAUUAUGUGAUGAAGAAUGACUAUACUUCGGGACAUUCAUUAACAAAACUUGCAGAUGAGUUGAAGACUAUUCCAUAUGAAAUUGCUACAAGUUUAGGUCAGAGAUUACCAAGACUUUAUGUAUCUGAUGAAAAAUUAACAGUAACAAUGUAGUUCUAAAAUUUUGAAUCUCCAAAUAGCUUUAAACCAAAGUGUGGUGAGAGAUAAAGGUUAAAUCAAAAUGUUGCACUGUCUCCCUAUUGAUUCCUUUUUUAAUAAUAUUCCACUUGUCAGAUGUCAAGAGUUAAAAUUUAUCUACCUCGUAAAUAUUUGUUGAAUUGAUGGAUUGAAAGGUUGUCACAUGCUUGUAUCAUGUAAUGGAAUAAAAUAGAGAAAUAUAUCUAAUUCAA